GGCUGGUCCCAGUGCAGUGGUAUUUAUGACUAAUUGAUCACAACCAGUUACAGAUUCCUUUGUUCCUUCUCCACUCCCAGUUUCACUUAACUAGAAAA
rnacentral:Y_RNA from 1 species